AUUGAACGCUGGCGGCAGGCCUAACACAUGCAAGUCGAACGAGUGGCGGAAGGGUGAGUAAUGUCUGGGCAACUGCCUGAUGGAGGGGGAUAACUACUGGAAACGGUAGCUAAUAACGCAUACCAUCAGAUGUGCCCAGAUGGGAUUAGCUAGUAGGUGGGGUAAAGGCUAACCUAGUCGACGAUCCCUAGCUGGUCUGAGAGGAUGACCAGCAACACUGGAACUGAGACACGUUCCAGACUCCUACGGGAGGCAGCAGUGGGGAAUAUUGCACAAUGGGCGAAAGCCUGAUCCAGCCAUGCCGCGUGUAUGAAGAAGGCCUUCGGGUUGUAAAGUACUUUCAGCGAGGAGGCGUUACUCGCAGAAGAAGCACCGGCUAACUCCGUGCCAGCAGCCGCGGUAAUAC
rnacentral:rRNA from 1 species